GAUGAACGCUGGCGGCGUGCCUAAUACAUGCAAGUCGAGCGAACGGACGAGAAGCUUGCUUCUCUGAUGUUAGCGGCGGACGGGUGAGUAACACGUGGAUAACCUACCUAUAAGACUGGGAUAACUUCGGGAAACCGGAUCUAAUACCGGAUAAUAUUUUGAACCGCAUGGUUCAAAAGUGAAAGACGGUCUUGCUGUCACUUAUAGAUGGAUCCGCGCUGCAUUAGCUAGUUGGUAAGUUAACGGCUUACCAAGGCAACGAUGCAUAGCCGACCUGAGAGGGUGAGCGGCCACACGGGAACUGAGACACGGACCAGAAUCCUACGGGAGGCAGCAGUAGGGAAUCUGCCGCAAGGGGCGAAAGCCUGACGGAGCAACGCCGCGUGAGUGAUGAAGGUCUUCGGAUCGUAACUCUGUUAUUAGGGAAGAACAUAUGUGUAAGUAACUGUGCACAUCUUGACGGUACCUAAUCAGAAAGCCACGGCUAACUACGUG
rnacentral:rRNA from 1 species